rnacentral:tRNA from 1 species
UCCUUCGUGGUGUAUUAGUCAGCACACUCAACUCAUAUUCGAGAGGUCCGAGUUUCGAGUCCCGGCGAGGGUA